rnacentral:rRNA from 1 species
GUGGGGAAUUUUACGCAAUGGGGGAAACCCUGACGUAGCGACACCGCGUGAGCGAAGAAGCCUUUUGGGGUGUAAGGCUCUGUCAGCUGGAACGAACACAAUGACGGUACCAGCAGAGGAAGCAUCGGCUAACUACGUGCCAGCAGCCGCGGUACGACGUAGGAUGCAAGCGUUGUCCGGAUUCAUUGGGCGUAAAGAGUUCGUAGGUGGUCUGUUAAGUUUGGUGUUAAAGAGCGGGGCCCAACCCCGAUAGUGCACUGAAUACUGGCAGACUUGAGUGCGGUAGAGGUAAGUGGAAUUCCAAGUGUAGCGGUGAAAUGCAUAGAUAUUUGGAAGAACACCGGUGGCGUAAGCGACUUACUGGGCCGUAACUGACACUGAGGAACGAAAGCCGGGGUAGCGAAUG